UACGUAGGAUCCAAGCGUUGUCCGGAUUUACUGGGUGUAAAGGGUGCGCAGGCGGACUUGUUAGUCAGAGGUGAAAUCUCACUGCUCAACAGUGAAACUGCCUUUGAUACUGCAGGUCUUGAACUCAGAAGAGUAGUUGUGGAAUUCCGAGUGUAGCAGUGAAAUGUGUAGAUAUUCGGAAGAACACCAGCGGCGAAGGCAGCAACUUGGUCUGGUAUUGACGCUCAGGCACGAAAGCAUGGGGAUCAAACAGG
rnacentral:rRNA from 1 species